rnacentral:rRNA from 1 species
AAUGAACGCUGGCGGCAUGCCUAACACAUGCAAGUCGAACGAAGGCUUCGGCCUUAGUGGCGCACGGGUGCGUAACGCGUGGGAAUCUGCCCUUGGGUUCGGAAUAACAGUUAGAAAUGACUGCUAAUACCGGAUGAUGUCGUAAGACCAAAGAUUUAUCGCCCAAGGAUGAGCCCGCGUAGGAUUAGCUAGUUGGUGGGGUAAAGGCCUACCAAGGCGACGAUCCUUAGCUGGUCUGAGAGGAUGAUCAGCCACACUGGGACUGAGACACGGCCCAGACUCCCACGGGAGGCAGCAGUGGGGAAUAUUGGACAAUGGGCGAAAGCCUGAUCCAGCAAUGCCGCGUGAGUGAUGAAGGCCUUAGGGUUGUAAAGCUCUUUUACCCGGGAUGAUAAUGACAGUACCGGGAGAAUAAGCUCCGGCUAACUUCGUG